rnacentral:rRNA from 1 species
UACAGAGGUCCCAAGCGUUGUUCGGAUUCACUGGGCGUAAAGGGCGCGCAGGCGGCUGCUCAAGUCAGGCGUGAAAGGCCUGGGCUCAACCCGGGAAUUGCGCUUGAGACUGGGCUGGCUUGAGUGCGGGAGAGGAUGGUGGAAUUCCCAGUGUAGAGGUGAAAUUCGUAGAUAUUGGGAAGAACACCGGUGGCGAAGGCGGCCAUCUGGACCGCAACUGACGCUGAGGCGCGAAAGCGUGGGGAGCAAACAGG